rnacentral:rRNA from 1 species
AUUGAACGCUGGCGGCAGGCCUAACACAUGCAAGUCGAGCGGUAGAGAGGUGCUUGCACCUCUUGAGAGCGGCGGACGGGUGAGUAAUAUCUAGGAAUCUGCCUGGUAGUGGGGGAUAACGUUCGGAAACGGACGCUAAUACCGCAUACGUCCUACGGGAGAAAGCAGGGGACCUUCGGGCCUUGCGCUAUCAGAUGAGCCUAGAUCGGAUUAGCUAGUUGGUGAGGUAAUGGCUCACCAAGGCUACGAUCCGUAACUGGUCUGAGAGGAUGAUCAGUCACACUGGAACUGAGACACGGUCCAGACUCCUACGGGAGGCAGCAGUGGGGAAUAUUGGACAAUGGGCGAAAGCCUGAUCCAGCCAUGCCGCGUGUGUGAAGAAGGU